GACGAACGCUGGCGGCGUGCUUAACACAUGCAAGUCGAACGGAAAGGCCCUGCUUUUGUGGGGUGCUCGAGUGGCGAACGGGUGAGUAACACGUGAGUAACCUGCCCUUGACUUUGGGAUAACUUCAGGAAACUGGGGCUAAUACCGGAUAGGAGCUCCUGCUGCAUGGUGGGGGUUGGAAAGUUUCGGCGGUUGGGGAUGGACUCGCGGCUUAUCAGCUUGUUGGUGGGGUAGUGGCUUACCAAGGCUUUGACGGGUAGCCGGCCUGAGAGGGUGACCGGCCACAUUGGGACUGAGAUACGGCCCAGACUCCUACGGGAGGCAGUAGUGGGGAAUAUUGCACAAUGGGCGGAAGCCUGAUGGAGCAACGCCGCGUGCGGGAUGACGGCCUUCGGGUUGUAAACCGCUUUCGCCUGUGACGAAGCGUGAGUGACGGUAAUGGGUAAAGAAGCACCGGCUAACUACGUG
rnacentral:rRNA from 1 species